CCAGGAGGCGCUUCAAAGGGUUGUGGUGUGGCAGAGAGGAGCAGAGACGGAGCACGGAUUUCACAGUGCGAGAACCCCCAGGGCACCCCUGAGGCACCCCCGGAGUUCCAGGGAGCACAGUUUGAAAGCACAGUAUUACAGGAGUGCGCGCCAUAAGCAGAAUGAAAAACGCUUUCUAAAAUCUACCUGCCCCCAACCAAACCUGGAUUGGAAGCUUCUUGAGGGCCAGCAGCACCUGGCGCCUGCUGAAAACACAAGUGUCUGUGAAGUGGAUGGAGGAGUGAAGCCUUUGUUUUCAUUUCCGAGGUCUGGCUCAGCUUCUCAGUCCCGGGACGCCCUCGCUGCAGUCCUUCAUGACCCUGUAAGGCAGGCGACAGUCUCCGGCUGCUCCCGGAUGGCGAGUUUGCGCUUUCCUUGCCUUUGUAUCAGAAUGAUUUGUGGCUUCUCAGGUGGAACGGCUGGUGAUAUAAUUAACAUUUCAAAACUUCGCAACCACAAAUUGAAUUUGUUUUGAAUAUUUGGGGAU
rnacentral:lncRNA from 1 species